CGGACGGGUGAGUAACACGUGGAUAACCUACCUAUAAGACUGGGAUAACUUCGGUAAACCGGAGCUAAUACCGGAUAACAUGUUGAACCGCAUGGUUCAACAGUGAAAGACGGUCUUGCUGUCACUUAUAGAUGGAUCCGCGUCGCAUUAGCUAGUUGGUAAGGUAACGGCUUACCAAGGCAACGAUGCGUAGCCGACCUGAGAGGGUGAUCGGCCACACUGGAACUGAGACACGGUCCAG
rnacentral:rRNA from 1 species